rnacentral:rRNA from 1 species
UGCAGUCGAGUGCGCGCCUGUAGUAAUACAGGUGGCGCACGGCGCACGGGUGCGUAACACGUGGGUAAUCUGCCCUUCGAUGGGGAAUAACUCGCCGAAAGGCGAGCUAAUUCCGCAUAACAUUCCGAGGACUCUGGUUCUUGGAUUCAAAGGCGUAAGUCGUCGGAGGAGGAGCCCGCGCACGAUUAGCUAGUUGGUGAGGUAAUGGCUCACCAAGGCUAUGAUCGUUAGCUGGUCUGAGAGGAUGGCCAGCCACACUGGAACUGAGACACGGUCCAGACUCCUACGGGAGGCAGCAGUGGGGAAUCUUGCACAAUGGGCGAAAGCCUGAUGCAGCGACGCCGCGUGGGGGAUGAAGCUUUUCGGAGUGUAAACCCCUUUCGACCCGGACGAAUGCCUCGCAAGAGGACUGACGGUACGGGUAUAAGAAGCCCCGGCUAACUACGUGCCAGCAGCCGCGGUAAGACGUAGGGGGCCAGCGUUGCUCGGAAUUACUGGGUGUAAAGGGUUCGUAGGCGGUGUGGCAAGUCGGGAGUGAAAUCUCUGGGCUCAACCCAGAGUCUGCUUCCGAAACUGCUGUGCUUGAGUGUGGGAGAGGCGCGUGGAAUUGCAGGUGUAGCGGUGAAAUGCGUAGAUAUCUGCA